CCUGACGGUAGUCGUAUGCUCGUCUCCGAGACUAAGCCAUGCAAGUCCAAGUACACGUCCUUGAACGACGGAAACUGCGAACGGCUCAUUAAAUCAGUUGCGAUCUACUCGGCGUUCCGCGCCGCCGGAUAACCGUAGUAAUUCUAGGGCUAAUACGUGCGAAGCGCCCGAAGCCGCGAGGCGACGGCGUUCUCGCCAGAUGUAGGGAACCGACCCCGGGGACCGCCCGGGGGCAACCCGGCGCCCCGAGACGGGCGAACCACGGUGAAAUGACGGAUCGUCGGCCCCGCGCCGGCGACUCGCCGAAUGAGUUUCUGACCUAUCAACUCGAGACGGCGGGGUAGAGGCCCGCCGCGGUAACGACGGGUAACGGGGAAUCAGGGUUCGAUUCCGGAGAGGGAGACCCGAGAAACGGCUACCACUUCCAAGGAAGGCAGCAGGCGC
rnacentral:rRNA from 1 species